rnacentral:rRNA from 1 species
UACGUAGGUGGCAAGCGUUGUCCGGAUUUACUGGGUGUAAAGGGCGUGUAGGCGGGAAGACAGGUCAGAAGUGAAAUGCCGGGGCUCAACCCCGGAGCUGCUUUUGAAACCGUUUUUCUUGAGUAUCGGAGAGGCAGGCGGAAUUCCUAGUGUAGCGGUGAAAUGCGUAGAUAUUAGGAAGAACACCAGUGGCGAAGGCGGCCUGCUGGACGACAACUGACGCUGAGGCGCGAAAGCGUGGGGAGCAAACAGG